rnacentral:rRNA from 1 species
GGGGAAUAUUGCACAAUGGGGGAAACCCUGAUGCAGCAACGCCGCGUGGAGGAAGAAGGUCUUCGGAUUGUAAACUCCUGUCUUCUGGGACGAAGAAUGACGGUACCAGAGGAGGAAGCCACGGCUAACUACGUGCCAGCAGCCGCGGUAAUACGUAGGUGGCGAGCGUUGUCCGGAAUUACUGGGCGUAAAGGGCGCGUAGGCGGCCUGUUAAGUCAGAUGUGAAAACCCCGGGCUCAACCUGGGGACUGCAUUUGAAACUGAUGGGCUAGAGUGUCGGAGAGGGAAGCGGAAUUCCUAGUGUAGCGGUGAAAUGCGUAGAUAUUAGGAGGAACACCAGUGGCGAAGGCGGCUUUCUGGACGAUAACUGACGCUGAGGCGCGAAAGCGUGGGGAGCAAAC